GACGAACGCUGGCGGCGUGCUUACCUCUUGCAAGUCGAACGAUGAAGUGGAGCUUGCUCCACGGAUUAGGGGCGAACGGGUGAGGAACACGUGAGAAACCUGCCUCGGAUUUUGGGAUAACAAAUGGAAACGUUUGCUAAUACCAAAUAACGUCGGAGAGUCACAUGACUUUCUGACGAAAGGAAUUCCGAUUCGAGAGGGUCUCGCGGCCUAUCAGCUUGUUGGCGGGGUAAUGGCCCACCAAGGCAACGACGGGUAGCUGGUCUGAGAGGAUGGUCAGCCACACUGGGACUGAGACACGGCCCAAACUCCUACGGGAGGCAGCAGUGGGGAAUCUUGCGCAAUGGGCGAAAGCCUGACGCACCAACGCCGCGUGCGGGAAGAAGGCUUUCGGGCUGUAAACCGCUUUCAGCAGGAACGAAAAUGACGGUACCUGCAAAAAAAGGAGCGGCCAACUAUGUG
rnacentral:rRNA from 1 species